AAAUAAGAAGCAAAUAAUUGCACUCAGUUUCGACCUGAAAAAUAGGUAAAUUAAUUUACCCUUAUUUA
rnacentral:tRNA from 1 species